CAAUAGCGUAUAUUAAAGUUGUUGCAGUUAAAAAGCUCGUAGUUGGAUUUCUGGUAGGAGCGACCGUGCCGAACUUGAUUGUUCGAGUAUUGUGUUGUCUUCAGCCAUCCUCGUGGAGAACUUUUCUAACAUUAACUUGUUGGGAUUGGGACCCGCGUCGUUUACUGUGAAAAAAUUAGAGUGUUUAAAUCAGGCAUUAGCUUGAAUACAUUAGCAUGGAAUAAUAAGAUAGGACUUUGGUACUAUUUUGUUGGUUUGCAUACCAAAUUAAUGAUCAACAGGAACAGUUUGAGGAUAUUCGUAUGAACAUGUCAGAGGUGAAAUUCUUGGAUUUUGAUCAGACGAACUACUGCGAAAGCAUUUAUCAAGGAUGUUUUCAUUAA
rnacentral:rRNA from 1 species